UGAGAAAUUGGAAAAUUCAAGAAGUAACAACACAGAUGCUGAUGUGCAUACCUUUGAAUUCACUCUUAACCAUUUCAACCAUGUCAGAGAAACACAAAUUACUUUGCCCAACGACUUCUCAACUUAUGUUCGUCAUUUAAAUUUGCAAACCCUAAUUCUUGAAGUACCUGGAACAAACAGUUCCAAGGUACAUUUAAGGUAUCCAACCAAUCCUUCUGAAAAUGUCCAGAUUGUUGGAGGCUGGAAAAACUUCUGCUUUGACAAUGGAAUACAAUUCGAUGAUAGGCUUCGAAUUGAAUUCAAACAUGUUUAUCCAAAUGUUGGCAAAGUUUUUAAGGUUACAACCUAAUUGGAUACAUAUAUGUGAGAUCCAUAUGUAACCUACCUAAAUGUUUAAUUUUUUGUUUCAAGUUUUCCUUCAAAUUGUAAUAGACAUUGACAAGAAAUUUUAA